rnacentral:rRNA from 1 species
UACAGAGGGUGCGAGCGUUAAUCGGAAUUACUGGGCGUAAAGCGCACGUAGGUGGCGACGUAAGUCGGGUGUGAAAGCCCCGGGCUCAACCUGGGAAUUGCAUUCGAGACUGCAUUGCUGGAGUACGGAAGAGGAGGGCGGAAUUCCCGGUGUAGCGGUGAAAUGCGUAGAUAUCGGGAGGAACAUCAGUGGCGAAGGCGGCCCUCUGGUCCGGUACUGACACUCAAGUGCGAAAGCGUGGGGAGCAAACAGG